UACGGAGGGUGCAAGCGUUAUCCGGAUUCACUGGGUUUAAAGGGUGCGUAGGUGGGGCUGUAAGUCAGUGGUGAAAUCUCCAAGCUUAACUUGGAACUGCCGUUGAUACUAUAGCUCUUGAAUGUUGUGGAGGUGAGCGGAAUAUGUCAUGUAGCGGUGAAAUGCUUAGAUAUGACAUAGAACACCAAUUGCGAAGGCAGCUCACUACACAAAUAUUGACACUGAGGCAACGAAAGCGUGGGGAU
rnacentral:rRNA from 1 species